UAUAUGCAAUCACGAAGCUCUGCAAUAUGGAAAGUAUAGGCAGGUCUUAUUUCAGAAGGAACAGGGCAGUUCAGGGUCGUUCACAGAGGUUCAGUCCAGCAGGCAUGAGCUGGAUAUUUACUGUCUCAGAAUGGCAUAAAUUUAUUAGAUAUCAAUUUUUGACGACUCUUUAUUUUUAUAUCAGAAACCCAAGUAUAAAACACUAGUUGACUCAUGUGAAAGAAUCAUUGAAACUGUUUAUUGUGUUGUAUAGAAAGAACUAUGCCAAGUAAAGAGUGCAUCUUCCUGUCGUUUUGAUCUGUUGUGGGUAUUGUAUGAAUCUCUGAUCUUAAUAAUUUGGAACCACUGGCAAAAUUUUUUUUCCAUUUUAAAUUUUUUGAGAAUCUGCCAUACAAAUAUCCUUAUAAAUACAGAAUGACAGAUUAAAAUUUCACAUGUAUGUCAUGACAUGAACAUAAUAAAAAGACAUCUCAUGUUUUUUUAUUAUAAACAGCCUAUGAUAUGUAGUUUAAUAUCACCUGUAGAUAUUUACUCUAAGAAGAAAAUAACUUCCUAUAUUUUAUUUACUAGAUGAUGCUAAAACUUACUUUUAUGGUCUGCAUUAUUCUAUUUAAUUUUCUUCUUACUAAGAUUCUGUCUAAACUACCAAGAUGAAUAAUAAAUUCUUCAUGGUGAAAUUAGCCCAUUAUGAGAUACCCAAAGGUAGUUUUAUUCUUCAUUUGAAUAACUGAUAUAUUUUUUGGAAUGUCUGGAUAAAUUUAGAAAUUUAUCAGUAUUCAUGAAUGUAAAAUAUUUUGUUGGUGUUCGUUUCUUAAAUCCUCUAAACCAAAAAGCAAAUUUAAGUCUUCCAAUCCCAAGUUUCUAUGUGCAAAUUAUUUUAGUUCAAAUUCUAUUAAAAAUAUGUUAAAAGGAUGAUUUAAAUCUAUUUUUGAAAACAAAUACUUUUCAGUUUGACUAAUAAUAUGUUAAUUACAAUGAAAUUGACUAAGUCAGAGUUCCAGUUAUAGCUAAAAACCCAACAUAGUGUCUGUAGGGAUGUGGGUUCAAUCCUUGGCCUCUAAGGAUCUUGCAUAAGGUGCAGCAUAGGUAGCAGAUGUGGCUCGGAUCCAGUGUUGCUGUGGUUGUGGCAUAGGCCGGCAGCUGCAGCUUGGAUUUGACCUCAUUCCAGGAACUUCCAUAUGCCACAGGUGCAGCUGUAAAAGGAAAAGCUUUAGAAAAGAAAUUUAAAAAAGAAUUUGACUAAGUCAGACAAUGUUAUAUAUUUGCUAGUGCUUCAAUUUUCAUCAAGAGAGGAAUGAAUAUGACUUAGUAUUGAAAUGCUACCACCAUGUUUAAAUCCAUCUCUGUGCUGUGCAAACAGAAACAACUAAAGCAGCUGUCUGCCUCCUCCACAUUUAGCAGAGCACUCAGUAACUCUCAAAGCUGGCAGGAUUAGAUACUCACUAUAAAACAAGGUUGCCCAAUUCUGUGCUAUAGAUUUUUUUUAAAAUAUCCCACUUUUGAAUAAUAAAAUGCAAAUAUAUGUAAAAUAUGCACACAUUUCCAUUUGCAAGUUAUAAUGAGAAUAUAGGAGAUAAACCAGUUAGUCUACUUAGUAUAGCAGAAUUACCAGUUUAACUCAAUUCACUUAUUAAAGACAUGAUCUUUAUUAAGAACUGAAUCAGAAUGUAUUAUCCAAAAUGAGUUGCCAAACAGUACUUCUUUCCAUCAGUGAGAAAGUUCUACUAACCUUUCCCCCUUUACCAGUUGGGUACUCUGCCUUGUCUUUUAGGUUAUGCCAACAGACCACAGCAGUCUUUUAGAUGGUGAGUAAAAACCAGUUACACAGCUAAAGCUUUAGCAGUGCUAGCCCAGGAGCAUGCUUAAAAAUAUUAUACUAGAAAUAUCCUGACAGUCACAACUUCAGGACAAUUUGGGAACUAACUUCAGCUCAGAUACAAUCUGAAAAUUGGCCUUCCUGCCAAAAAGCUAAACUUUAUAAACUUUUCCCACAGGCAGAGAGAGGACAGAGAAGGACAGACCAAAAGACCAUGUACACACAAAAGGGAAGAUGCUGUGGAAUAUUGACUAUAGUCCAAUACAAAUACCAUUUAUAAAUGUCAUGACAUACAGAGCAUGGUUUUUUCCCCCUGGCACUUGUCACCCUUUUAUUUACCCAUUUUAAAGAGACACAAGACAAUUUUGUAAAGUACUGUAAAAUACCUAAUACUGAAUCUUUCCCUUGGAAACAGGUGAAAUAUACCUUGAGAUGCAUUAAUGACUGUAGCUUGGUAGGUCUGAAUAGCUGCUGUACUUUUUAGAACUUUCUGCCCAGACAAGGCUUGAGUUAUACUUAGAGAAGAAGUGUAAACAUGCCAUGUUUAUCCUCUAUCACAUUCUUCAUAGUCACUAUCUCUCCUCCUGUAUAUCUGAUAGGUUGAACUUGUGCAGACACCAGUUCUGCAUCUAGAGGGGCAAUGGCCCUGUGCAAUGAGCAGGGGAGAAACUAGAGUCAGGAGUUCCCAUUGAGUGUCAGUGGAAAUGAACCCAACUAGGAUCCAUGAAGAUGCAGUUUUUAUCCCUGGCCUAACUCAGUGGGUUAAAGACCCCAGCAUUGCUGUGAGCAGUAGUGUAAGUUGCAGAUAUUGCUCUAAUCUGGUGUUGCUGUAGCUGUGGUGUAGGCUGGCAGCUGUAGCUCCGAUGAUUUGCCCCUUAGCCUGGGAACUUCCAUAUGCCACAGGGGCAGCCCUAAAAAAAGGCAAAACAAAUUAAAAAAAAAUAAAGUCAUUAGGAGUUCCCCUGCAAUGGCUGUAUAUUCACAGAAACAGUGGAAACAAGCCUGUCCUUUUCUUGCAGCCUCAGGUGGGAGCUAGGAGAAAGAGGACUAUAAAUGUUCUCCUAGAUACAAAGGCAAAGAACAAAUAAAUGCAAAAAGAACUAGUGCUCUUUUCACUAAAUUAGUUUAAAAUCCCUAGGACAUUGCAGGUAGCCAUGUGAUGAACAUAACACAGUAAAAGGAAAAUGUUGGGAAGUUUAGCAGAGUACCACAUCAGCUAUUAUUAAUCUGAUGAACUUUUCACUUGUAACAUUUGAAAGUAUGAUUAUCAUAAAGCAUGGAAAAAAAUUCCUGUAGAAGAUAUUUUUAGGAUUUCAGAAUGUAUAAAGAUGGGCAACGUUAAGUAACAAUUUGAAGCUCUGUUAAAUUUUUUCAUGGUUAAGAACUUUUAAUGAAUUGUAUUACAGUUAGGUUGACACACAUCCAAUUACUUUUAAAAAUAGAUAAAAUGUGUGCUCCUGAACAUCUUUGGAAAGUUAUAUUUUAAAGUGACUUUGCUAUAUUGAGGAAUUCUAUAGAAAUCACUGUUUUAAGGCACUUGUAUUCCAAUUAAUGUCCUCUCUUUUCAACCUCUAGGUCUAAUUUUAUUAUUUGUUUACAGAAGGUAAGUGCUUACGAACAAAAUAUAUUUUAGCUGUACAAUAUAUGGAGUCUGUGGAAAAACAAAACUGGCUUAAAAAUUCCUGGAAGAUUUCAGCUUUUGGAUGUGAUGAAGUACUUGGGACCAGAUUUGUCAUUCUCUCAUGAACAUCUACAAAAUCAAACAUAAUAGACGACACUUCUGUACCAAAAUAUGGGACAACAGGCAGCAUGAUUGUGACCCAUUGAGAUAAGGGACAGAAAUAAGGCAAAUUUAGGUCCCAGCUUUCUGCCUGGAGGCACCCUCCAGACCACGCACAGGAGGAUAAAUCAAAGUGCAACAUGAUGAUUCACUGAGUGAAAGAGUCAGAGGAGAAAGCUCAGGGAGGUCAAUGUGACUGUAAUUCAGAGAUAUUGGAGCUAUGCAAAUGGAGUUCCCCAAAAUCUCUCCAAGAGGCCCCUGGAGCUGGUUACUGAAUACUAAGCAAAACUGUGAGGUCAGGUAAAGAGCGAACGGGGAGCUGUAAGGGAGAAAUUCCCAGAGCUUGUUCAGGUCUGGGAGAUGUUUGAGUCUGACACAGACUUUGGAGUCUUCUUGGAAACUUGAAGACAUUCUGGAUACACCUUAUAAGAGUUACAUCUUACUAGCGUGGGAAUGCUGCUAUUCCAAGAGGCCUGCAGUGGUCCACACCUCUUGGGAUUCAUGAACUCUCCCCCUUAACUGUGAGCAAGGCUUGGUGACUUGCAUAUCAUUAAUAGGGUACAAUGAAGUAAUGAUAGCUUAUUUCUGAGAUUAGAUUAAAAGAUGCUGGCUUGACAGUUCCCUUUAUAACUCAGCAGAUUAAGACCUGACAUAGUGUCCAUGAUGAUGCAGGUUCAAUCCCUGGCUUCUCUCAGUGAGUUAAGGAUCUGGCGUUGCUGAAAUCUGCUCCACAGGUUGCAGAAGCAACUAUGAUCUGGUGUUGCUGUGGCCAUGGUGUAGGUCUGCAGUUGCAGCUUUGAUUCAGUCCGUAGCCUGAGAAUUUCCAUAUGCCACAGGCACAGCCCUAAAAAGA
rnacentral:lncRNA from 1 species